ensembl:lncRNA novel transcript
UACUCUGUUCAAGGCCAAGAGCAUUCUCCAAGUAACUGAUAUCUUCAACAGAAGGUGGUUGAUGAGGGCCAAAAGAAGAGGUUCUCAACAUGUGGAGCAGCAUCACCUAGCAACUUAUUAGAAAUGCAAAAUCUCACACCACACUCCAGAUCUACUGAAUCAAAAACUGCAGGGCAGGGCUCAGCAGUCGUGGUUUGUUUUUGCUUUUUGGUUUUUUUUUUAAACUUUUUGUUUUGAAAUAAUUAAGGAUUCACAGGAAAGUGCAAAGAAAUGGACAGAGAGAUUCCAUUUGCCCUUCAUCCAGCUUCCCCUCCAUGUUAACAUCCUGAAUGAGUAUAUAAAGCAAUUUCAAAACCAA